rnacentral:rRNA from 1 species
AACGAACGCUGGCGGCGUGCCUAACACAUGCAAGUCGUGCGAGAAAGUUCCUUCGGGAGCGAGUAAAGCGGCGCACGGGUGAGUAACACGUAGGUAACCUGCCCCCAGUCUGGAACAACUAGAGGAAACUCUAGCUAAUGCCGGAUGAGACCACGAUCCCUUCGGGGGUUGCGGCCAAAGAUGGCCUCUACUUGUAAGCUAUCGCUGAGGGAUGGGCCUGCGGGCCAUUAGCUUGUUGGUGAGGUAACGGCUCACCAAGGCUGUGAUGGCUAGCUGGUCUGAGAGGAUGACCAGCCACACUGGGACUGAGACACGGCCCAGACUCCUACGGGAGGCAGCAGUGGGAAUAUGCGCAAUGGGCGAAAGCCUGACGCAGCGACGCCGCGUGGGUGAUGAAGGCC